AUUGAACGCUGGCGGCAGGCUUAACACAUGCAAGUCGAACGAGUGGCGGACGGGUGAGUAAUGCUUGGGAAUCUAGCUUAUGGAGGGGGAUAACUACGGGAAACUGUAGCUAAUACCGCGUACCAUAGGAUGAGCCCAAGUGGGAUUAGGUAGUUGGUGAGGUAAAGGCUCACCAAGCGGACGAUCUCUAGCUGGUCUGAGAGGAUGACCAGCCACACUGGGACUGAUACGCGGCCCAGGCUCCUAAGGGAGGCAGCAGUGGGGAAUAUUGCGCAAUGGGGGGAAACUGACGCAGCCAGGCGGCGUGAAUGAAGAAGGCCUUCGGGUGGUAAAGUUCUUUCGGUAGCGAGGCGUUAACUACAGAAGAAGCACCGGCUAACUCCGUGCCAGCCGCCGCGGUAAUAC
rnacentral:rRNA from 1 species